UCCACAUGGCAGAGGGCAGUGUGCUUUACUGAGCCAACCAAUUCAAAUGCUCAUCUCUUCCACACCUUCAAAGACACACAAAGAAAUAAUGUUUAACCAGAUAUCUGGGUGCCCAGGCACCCAGUCAAGUUGAUGCAUAAAAUUAACCAAAUUAACCUUUUCAGUGUAUCAAAUAUUAGCUGAGCACAAAUUAACCUUCUCAGUGUAUCAAACAUUAGCUGAAUACAUUAGCUGAGCUGGGUUAUAUGGUCACAAGCACAUCAGUAAUUAUAUAAAAUGCAAGUUCUUCAAGAGGAAGUCUCAGAUUUACAGGCUGAAUAUAAAACCAAAGCUGGAGUUCUUAUCAUGGCUCAGCAGUAACUAACCCUACAUGUAUCUGUGAGGACUUGGGUUUGAUCUUAGCCUUGAUCAGUGGGUCAAGGAUCUAGUGUUGCCAUGGACUAUGGUGUAGGUCACAGAUGUGGCUCAGAUCCCAUGUUGCUGUGGCUGGGAACUUCCAUAUGCCACAGGUGUGGACCUAAAAAAUACAAAAAAAAAAAAAAAAAAAAAAACCCAAAACCCAAACCAAACCAAAAAAACCAAAGUGCUGUUGUAUACUGUUUAGAAGAGACAUGUCUUAACUAUGAAUUGGAUGUUAAGGGAGAUCUCCUUAAGAAGGGAGAUUUGAGAUAAGACUGGUCAUUGUGAGCAAGCAGACAUCAGGACCAAGAGUGUUUGGACAGAAGGAAUGGCCGGAGCCCUGGUUCUAAGGGAGGAAAUUGUCUGGUUUGGUCAAGGAACAUGGACGCAGCCAGGGGGCUGGUGUGGAGGGAGCGAGGGGGAGACCAAUUAAAGGGGCUGGCAGAGAAAUGAAAAUGGUCAGAUCAUACACAGCUCUGUUGGCCAUGGUAGGACUUUGGAUUUUACUCUAACUUAACUAGGGAAUAAUUGUGGAAUUUUGGGUGGGGAGUGACAUGAUCCAACUUAAACUUUGAAAGAAUAACUCUAGCUGCUCUCUUGGGAAGUGACAGCAAGGAGAUGUUAGGAAGGAAUGGUGGCUUGGACAGGACAGUUGCAACCAGGUUGCUGAGAAGUCACUGGACUUUGGAUAUAGCUGAAGCUCUAAUACACGGUAAUCAGAGGAUGUACCUCCCUGCCAUUCUCUAGAAAACAUCCCUAAAUAAUCAAACCAAUUUAGGAGAACUUCCAUCAGAGACAAGAUAAAACAUUUUUCAUUUAUUUUCAUUUAUUUUUUGCCCCCCUCCCCCCAUGGCAUAUGGAUUCCUGGGCCAGGGAUCAGAUCCCAGCCACGGUUGUAGCCUAUACCACAGCUGUGACAACACAGGAUUCUCAACCCACUCUGCUGGGGUGGGGACUGAACCUGCAUCCUGGUGCAGAAGAGAUGUGGCCAAUCCCAUUGUACCAUAGCAGGGACUUCAAGAUAAAACAUUUAAGAGGUGAAAUCCAGCCUCAGAGCUGACUGAAUGAUUGUGUUAGUGGACACAAAAGAUCAGAUGUGGGAGGGGAAGAAUUGGAGAGUCAGUAGGAUGAGAGGCAAAGGUGUCCACACAAGAGUAACAGCUGAACUUCUAUUGAAUUUUCUCACCAUUUUUCUCUUUGUUUCUAUGAGGGUUCUACUGCUCAAAAAGCAAACAUUUUCAAGAGUGAAUGCACUAUGAGUGAAGGUACUUUUAAAAAAAUGAGUGGGGGUGGGGGCAAAGGAAUAUGUCAUUUUUUUCCCCUAAACUAAUAGAUUUGUAAAUAUUAGUUCCCUUCCUCUCUGCCAUACAUCUUAGCAGCACACUGAUAGACUGUUUAAAUAGGUUCUGUUGAAAUUAAUAUUGUGUAAGGAGUGAUGAUCAAUGAAAAACUGGGAAAAAAAUACUUACAAAUAAGAAAUUAUUCUUUCUUCCCUAGGUGCAUCUGUGACAGGAGAUAAUUCCUUGUAUCAUCCAUAACAGACUUUCUAUUUUUUUGGAAGGCAAUAAUCCAUUCUUAUUUUUCCCUUGUAAAAAUGAAUUAUCCAGAGUUCCCAUUGUGGCUCAGUGGUUAAAGAACCCAAUUAGUAACCAUGAGGUUGUGGGUUCGAUGCCUGGCCUCACUCAGUAGGUUAAGAAUCCAGUGUUGCUGUGAGCUGUGGUAUAGGCAAGUGACUACAGCUCCAAUUAGACCCCUAGCCUGGGAGCCUCCAUAUGCCAUGGGUACAGCCCUAAAAAGAAUCAAACAAAUAAAAAAGAAUUAUCCUAUUAUUGUUGGCAUCAAUUAGUUGACCCAAUAGGGAUGAUUCAAUAACUAAUGAUAUUAUAUAGGAAGACUAAUAGUCCUGUGAUUUCUAAGAACUGAUGCAUGUUGAAGUCCUACUGAUUGAAUUGCUUUCAGCCUCUUGUCAGGCAAUAUGGCUAUCUACUGUAGGACAUUCUUCUGCAGUGGCAAGGGAGUAGAGUUAUGCCUUUAUAUUAACAGAUGGGUAUAUAAUCUCAAGGUCCCCAAAGUAAUUUGCUUUAUACAAGUCAAAUACUCAAUUAUAAAAUAUUGAUUCUUGCUAAAUUUGGAAAUUAGAUUUUGUUUUAGGAAUCUCAGAUAGACCCUGUUUAUCUUGGUAUCUUCUGCACGAGGACAGAUCCAGAAAUGCGCUUAAUAUAUCUUCAUGAAUUCAAAGUGCAGAGUGCCUAUCAUCGCCUCAAAAUGCAGAAAGCUUUUUCUUUUUCCUGAAUUCGCUUGGGGAAGAUCAUGAACUAUGAGUUUAGAAACAAAAGCACUUUCAGGUGGAAAAAUACUUCUUUCCAUUGUAACCAUGAAGAUGAAUAUUUUAUAAAAUUAGCAAGACUGAGGAAAUGAUUGUAAUACUUCUCAUGCUAUUAAACAUUAAGGAAAAUCCACAGAGAUAGAAAUUUUGCAUGAAAAACAUUUUAAAAAUGCAUUCUCUCUGUUAAGUAAAAAUAGAUAAUUUACUAAAUGGUGAGGAUUUUCCAAGAAGAAAACAGAAUCCUCUUUGUGUGGUAUGAUUUUAAAAUUUAAUUAAGCAGAUCCUAUGUUUCUAAGAAUGAGAUAAUUUUUGGCUUGGCUAGCUCCUUCCUACCAAUUAUGAUUAAAAAAUCCUUUCUUUAGAAAAUAAAUCUAAAAUAAAGUAAUGAACUUAUAAAAUUUGCUUGGUAAAUUAACAUCAGGUGCAAAGUGCUGAGAAACUAUCUAAAAUCACAGAUGAUUUCAAACUUUGCUGUGUGAAUUAUACUUGGGAGAACAGAACAUAUUACUCUGGUCUGAAGCAUCUGAGCAGGGGGUCACAAUUGCACAAAAAAGCAGCUCUAUUUGCAGGAGCUGAAAUAGGUACAGAGUUUCAGAUAAGUGUUUUUGAACAUAAUAGUCCUCCUAUAAUUUCACUUUAUGUUUCCCAAGAAUAUAAGACCCUGAGUGAUCUCCUAGUAAGCAGAUUACGAUGUGCCUAAAAAGUCUAAAGAAAUAUCCUAACAGAAUAUGGCCAAAGUUAUAUAAAUAAUACUUUCCAAGGCCAUGUUGUGGCUGAAAAGUGACCAACCAUUUCUCUUCAUUUGCCUGAUUGCUUCUUUCUCACCCUUUAGCCCUACUUUAUUCCCUCUGUCUCCUGAGCAAAGAUUGCUGAGAUACCCAAUCUCUAAACCAUCCUCACAUCACCAGCUGGCCCCUCUUCCCCUCAUCCCUGUGAAAGCAAUCAGCAGUGCACAUGCAUUUACCCUUCACUGAGCCUCCUCCCCCGAGUCAGUUCCAGGUGUGAGGCAUAAACUUUAGUUUACAAGUUUAGUUGUAAACUUUAGUUGUUACACUAAACCUAAAUUAACAUAGCAAAACCCACAUUCGUUUCUGGGAAAUAAAUGCAACAAGGGCAAUCAUCUCACCUUUUUCAGCUAUUUACAUAAAUACAUUCCUGUAAGGCUUGGAAAGAGAAGCUGAAUAGUCAGACAGGAAUUGUAAUCAGGAUUGGAAUCCUCCCAGAAAAGUCGAGAAGACAUGCUUGUAGGGUCUCUAUGGUGAAUAUCUUUAGAAGCACCGAGGAAUAUAGAAUGGGUCAGAAGUGUGGAGAUGGUUUAAUGUCUAGAUUUUCAAAAAGGGGCAACUAGCAAAGUAUGACUCAGAAGAAAACCUGCUGAACUUGAUGUUGAUUCUUGCGGCAAGUGAGGGAGUGGGCUGAGUUGGGUGGGUUUCUCAACAUCUACCAGGAAGGGUAAUCAGGGCCUGGACCUGCCAGGAUGGACAUCCUCUGUUUAUGCUCCACGGAUCACAGAGCUGAGCUCCAGUCUCCUUUUUUCAGAUAUCCAUGAGUAAAUGAGGAGGAUCCUUAAUGGAAUGAAACAGUUGAAAUCUCAGUGCCCAAUAAAGGCAAUGCUAUUCAAGCCUCAGGUACACACCUUCACUGGAUGCAUGAUGAGAAGAUGAGGAAGACGAGAUGAAACUUGAGUGGGUGAUAGCACUUCCCGACCAUUUAUUGCUCAAAGUUAAUGUAUCCUGAUUUCCUGCAGUGUAUGUGGGUUUUAACUCAGUUCUUCUAUAAAUAGGGCAAUUUAGAGCCCAGAGUUUAUGACCUUAAUGACCCCACGCAGAACUGAACAGAAAAAACAAGUGGCAGGAAAGGAUGAAACAAAUAUUUAAAUGCUUUUUUGAGGCCAUUGACCUUGAUUUUUGUAAUUCAGCCAAUGUAUGUUUACCUGUGUCACACUCACCCCCACUGACCGUCCCUACACUUCUUUCAUCUUCCUUCAUUUGAGUCCCUCAUUUUCUUCUCCUCCCAGGUUUCCUCUUAAGCAGUACUUGUGAUUUUAAGAUUAAAAUUCCCAGAUGCUUCUCCUCAAGGCAGAAAUAACAUGGGAGGGAAGGCAAACUAUUUCCAAGGACAGCUGUGUAGGUGUGAAAGUCUUAAAGAGAAAUGACAUUUUCUACAUUCCAGUAGGACAUUUUUCUACAUUCCAGUAGGGCUCGUUGUAAGGACGUUGGAUAUAAAGGUGUU
rnacentral:lncRNA from 1 species